AGAAUUUAGCAGAGAUGCUUUAGUGCCUUCGGGAACUCUGAGACAGGUGCUGCAUGGCUGUCGUCAGCUCGUGUUGUGAAAUGUUGGUUAAGUCCCGCAACGAGCGCAACCCUUAUCCUUUGUUGCCAGCACGUAAUGGUGGGAACUCAAAGGAGACUGCCGGUGAUAAACCGGAGGAAGGUGGGGAUGACGUCAAGUCAUCAUGGCCCUUACGAGUAGGGCUACACACGUGCUACAAUGGCGCAUACAAAGAGAAGCGACCUCGCGAGAGCAAGCGGACCUCAUAAAGUGCGUCGUAGUCCGGAUUGGAGUCUGCAACUCGACUCCAUGAAGUCGGAAUCGCUAGUAAUCGUAAAUCAGAAUGUUACGGUGAAUACGUUCCCGGGCCUUGUACACACCGCCCGUCACACCAUGGGAGUGGGUUGCAAAAGAAGUAGAUAGCUUAACCUUCGGGAGGGCGUUUACCACUUUGUGAUUCAUGACUGGGGUGAAGUCGUAACAAGGUAGGCGUAGUGCU
rnacentral:rRNA from 1 species